rnacentral:tRNA from 1 species
GUGCCCGUAGCUCAAUCGGAUAGAGUGCCGGACUUCGAAUCCGUAGGUUGUAGGUUCGAUUCCUACCGGGCACA